GGAACAGGGAGGAAUCAUAAAUUGUUUCAUUCUAAAGCAGAAAAAUCUCAUCCUCCUCCAUCCUCCCUCCGCCUCUCUCAAGGUUUCCUAGCAGAAGACACAUCUGGAACAUGCAGCACAGUUUGGAAAGACUGAAUAAAGCUUGAGACAUUGAUUGCCAAGCACAGAAGUUUUUCAUCCAUCACUAUACAGCCACUGGAAGAAUUUCCCCCUCCUACUCUUGGAGUGAUUUUGAGCAUUUACAUAUGACUGUUAUAAAAAGUUUCGGAUAAGAGAAAAAUAUGUCCUGCUAUUCUUCAGAUGCUUCAAAUGUUUCCGCAGAAAUUAUGUAUUAAUUUGCAUAAAGAGAGAGGCCAGAAAUAAUUUUUAUGUUGGAAUUAGUGGUGUGCAUGUGUGCAUGUCCAUUUAAUUCAAAAUAUUGUAUUAAGCAAAACAGAAGCGCUUUAAAGUUGAAUAUGGUAAUAUGUGACAAUUAAGGAAGGAAAUUUGUUAUCUUUCAUUGCUUCUGGCAAGUGAUUUCAUUGACAAAAUUAUUUCCAGAACUUCUUAGAUAUUGCAUUUUUCUUAAUCUAUGUUGUUAAAGCUGUCAUGCUCUACAAUAACUAAGCUUCUUCAUUUAACGUAAUUGUUAAAAAUUACCAAUUGAUCUGAUUGCUUAUGAUGGCUUUUAAGCACAGACAAAUACAUUGUCUAAAUCUGCAAAUAUUUCCUAGCUAUUUUCAUGGACAUUUGCUGGUUAAGUAGUUAAAAAUUGUUUUAAAGGAUUAAGAAAUGGACAGGGACAUAGCUCAUAAAACUGAAGCGUCACUUGGAGUUUGGCACUGUGCUUUGCUGAUGUUACUUCUCUGCGUCAACAAGAGUUGCUAUGAAUAAUGAUUUGGACGAAGUCCUAUCCACAAUAGGAUGAACAUUAUAAAUAGAUACAAUGUUUUUUAAGUAUCACUGCCUUCCCCCCCCCCACUGAAAUAAAAGUGGUAUUCUGAACUGAGGUUCACAUCUC